rnacentral:rRNA from 1 species
GACGUAGGGCGCGAGCGUUGUCCGGAAUUAUUGGGCGUAAAGAGCUCGUAGGCGGCUUGUCACGUCGGAUGUGAAAGCCCGAGGCUUAACCUCGGGUCUGCAUUCGAUACGGGCUAGCUAGAGUGUGGUAGGGGAGAUCGGAAUUCCUGGUGUAGCGGUGAAAUGCGCAGAUAUCAGGAGGAACACCGAUGGCGAAGGCAGGUCUCUGGGCCAACUACUGACGCUGAGAAGCGAAAGCGUGGGGAGCGAACAGG